AGCGCCCAUCGUGAAGACCACAGUUUCCUGUCGCGUGGAUGUGUUUCCUCUCUGGCCAUUGCCAUCCGCCCAAAUCUACAGACAUCCCGCAUGUUCCCGGGCUCGUCUCCCCAAUACAGGGCACCAAGGCUGUAGACUGCGCAGCCCUCCUGGAGACAGAUGGAAGCUCCUUGGGUCGACAGAUUACAGCUUCUGGAACCCCCUACUCCCUUCAACUCCGAGAUGGACACCCACUGUCCAGGGAGAGGAUGCCUGGAAAUAACAGCUGGGAUCUACAGUGGCCAAAGAGUUGUCUCCGUCUUGCUACAUCGACAAACUGGUGCUCCUGAGUGAGGAUUGUGCCCUGGGAUGGGGGAUUCAGUUUCUUCAUUUAUAGUUGGAAGUGGGUGAAGCCACUUCGGAAGCGUUUUCCUCUCCACUCUGACAACAGGCAAGAGUGAGGGUCCAACAAUACAGAGGAAGUAACGUGUCGCUGCUACUCUUCCAUGCCCAGUGCCAGGAGCGACGGUACACUCCAGAGUGCUGUGCCCUGAUGGGCCUUUGAGUGGCCAGUGCAGUGGAUCAUCAGCCCUGUCUCCCAAGAGCUCCAGUCCCUUCUCCGGAGAGGAAGUGGGUCCACUGGCAGCUCAGGAGGCCAUAGCAGAUUGUGGGGCUCUGUGCAGUUGAUGUUAGUUAACCACUGGAUCCACGUGUUCACCGUGGCUUGCGCCCCUGCAUCCGAAAGUGAUCUUGGCUGCCGUGUCCUGGUCAUUGCCUUACGGAAGUGUGGGUGGCGCUUUCUGGAAGCUGCACAAGUCAGUGCUGGGUCUUCGCAACUUGGUGUUCUGUUUCCAGAAACUUGGGGUGUUUGCAUGUGCUAGGUCAGCACAGAUUUCCAAAGGAUCUCUAGGAUUGUCACGUGUGCUCAACAGUCCUCCUCGGCUUUCCAGAAGAGGCUGGAACAGGGCCCUUGAAGAUGUUUGUGGACAUCAGAGGGCCAAAGACGACACAAAGUGAAACUGGAGACACCGCCCCCCCUUGGCAUCAUGAAACUGCCGAUGUUACUGGCUCAUGCAUGGGAGACACCAGCAUACAAAGUCUUGACACCAACACCUCAGAGGGCUGUGUUCUGUCCCCGUGACCAUCAUCUAGUGCCUGGAAAGACUAGUGACAAGAACUUGUUGCCAACUUCCUAUUACCUCCCUAACAGUUGUGCAAUAAACCCCAUAGGUUAAUUCA
rnacentral:lncRNA from 1 species